CCUCCCCUUGUAAGACAAGUCUUUGUUUUCUAUUAUUAAAUAUUUUCAGCAUAUAAUAAUAAACUUUAAUUUACUGCUGUUCAAAUGUGCUGCACCAAUCCUUGCACUUUUGAAAAUGCCAGAUGUCAUUCAAAAUCUUCCAGAAAAUAUUCAGUUUCUUAUAUACAUUCUUCCCUUUGUUGCUCAAAAGUUUAGGAUUGGUUUAUAUGGGAACAAAACAUGGCACAAUUAGAAUAUGCAUAAAACUGGUUGAAAAGAGUGUCCAUUUAUGGCCAGUUAUUGAAAAAGCCAUGCUUUCAUGCCAUGCCAUGGAAUUUUGUUUUUUGCUGCAGAAAAUCAUGGGAGUUAAUAAUAUGAUAUUUGCUAUUAAUUGAUGAUAUAAUUAUUUUGAAAAUGCUGGAC
rnacentral:lncRNA from 1 species